GAGUUUGAUCGUGGCUCAGAUUGAACGCUGGCGGCAUGCCUUACACAUGCAAGUCGAACGGCAGCACGGGAGCUUGCUCCUGGUGGCGAGUGGCGAACGGGUGAGUAAUGCAUCGGAACGUAUCCUGGAGUGGGGGAUAACGUAGCGAAAGUUACGCUAAUACCGCAUAUUCUGUGAGCAGGAAAGCGGGGGACCUUCGGGCCUCGCGCUCUUGGAGCGGCCGAUGUCGGAUUAGCUAGUUGGUGAGGUAAAGGCUCACCAAGGCGACGAUCCGUAGCAGGUCUGAGAGGAUGAUCUGCCACACUGGAACUGAGACACGGUCCUAGACUCCUACGGGAGGCAGCAGUGGGGAAUUUUGGACAAUGGGGGCAACCCUGAUCCAGCCAUGCCGCGUGAGUGAAGAAGGCC
rnacentral:rRNA from 1 species